UUCAGCCAAUUAAGGCGAACCAAUCAUGGGUUAUUGUGGCUCCGAACACUCAGAUGGAAGGCGUUCGGGAGAUUUGAGUGUGUUGAUUCUUCAGGGAAGCCUGCUCUCCGUGUGGAAAUGGCGAAAACGUCGGCACAGUUCAGAUCACGAGGGCUUAGAUUUAUGGCGGAGACCUAACAUUUGGUGCAAGACUCCGAUUCAACCACAGAAAUUUUACAAAGCAAGCUUGUUGUAGAUUUAUUAAUCCGUUUUAUGUACGAUAAGGCACAUUUCGUUGCUCGUUGGAUUAUAAUUUUCAGGAGGUGUUCAGAAUCUACCUGGUUUGACACUUUCCCCUUGCUGUUGCCUCGUUAAUUUCUUUUGAAGUGGAUCAACUAUCUAUUUGGCUCAUUCUAAUCCCUAGAAAUUGAGGUUAGAUUGUUUUUGGUGCUUGCUCUACCUCUAUUACUUCAUCUGAGAAUUUCAAGGAUAAACGAAGAAAUAUUCAGAUUUAGAUUGAGCCUCAUACUCUGGAUGAUACUCUGCUAAAGAUCUUGAAAUAUGCUAUGAUUUCAAUCCAUUAGGAGAUUAGAUUUCUUAUUAUUAGAUUACAUAGUUUCUUUUUGCCCGUUUCAGUUCACUUGUUCAUGUGCUAUAACCAUUUAGAGGCAUUGUAACGCUGUUUUUCUUCUCAUUAUUUGUUUAUCAUUGAUAUCGACUUUUCAAUUAAGAUCCCAUUUGAACUGCUCAGCCGAUGCCUUGGAAUUUUGCCGGACAGAGGGUAUCAACACCACAAUUUGUAUAUUAUAUCAGUGUCAGCACACCGGACUGCUUCUGCCCGGUACUGCUAUGUUUUAAAUGAAAAUUCUCCUAGAAAUUCCUUUCAAGGGGUCAGUACGUAGCCAUGGCUUUGGAUAUGCAUUUGAAUACUUGGAUAUGGGGUUAUGCCCUCUGAUCUUAUCCUGUUUGUGGGUGAUAUUCUGAUGCUAUCUUGCCUGUUAGUUGUUUUUCUACCUUGAACUUGUCUCUUAAUUCAUAAUAGUUUUCAUUAAAUGUCACAGCUCCUAAUACCAUCUUGACAUAUCCAUAGUGUUCGUCUUAAUUUUGCUGAUGAUCUUACAUUUUUGUAGAUAGUGAAGAUGGGAUCUGAUGGUUCGCUGAGGCAUCAAAGGUUAUGAUCAAGUACAUGAAAAUUCUUACAUUUUUGUAGAUAGUGAAGAUGGGAUCUGAUGGUUCGCUGAGGCAUCAAAGGUUAUGAUCAAGUAUAUGAUCAAGUACAUGAAAAUGCUCAGUGGGUCAUAGACAAUCUUCCAUCGAGGAUUAUUGGGAGGGAGCUCCACAUUAGCUAAUUUAGGGAAUGAUCAUGGGUUUAUAAGGUCAUACCAAAAAUUUAGCCUGAAUACUGUUGGGGCGCCAAACUUCUAGUUGGACCCCAAGUUUCAUGUGCCAAGAAUGUCUGGCCUUUUCCAGGCACCAUCGUAUUUGGUAUCCAUUAGGAAAUGAAAUCAAGGAGUCAUCCAUUGGAAGUGGAACAACUCUAUCUCUCUGUUCAAUUACAACUCUAAUUGCAGGGUGCUUUGGAAGGAACCAUAUUCUGGGCAGGCGAGAAUCAGAAGCUUUCCCAACGCCAUGGCUAUAUACACCAAAGUUUCGGUUGGUUUGGUUCUUGCACUCUCUGCCUUUUCUGUUAACAUUGAUACCUCGCAUUUUAAUCUCAUCUUUGGAGGGCUAAAUUAAACCACACUCGUUCUAACAUGCUUGUAUUUCAUAUGUCAUGUUGGCUUAGCACAGAAAUAACAAUUUAGCUUCAUCAUCUGUUCAUGCUUCACAGGGCCAACAGAUAAUGAUUCCUCGUUGCAUGCAUGAAGAGAAGAGGUAUUAAUGUAUCGACUAAUUAAGUCGUGUUUAGGUCUGCAUGCAAGGUUGUUAUCCGAACCAUCGGCUCAUCUAUGAUAAAUCUCUUUGUGUGGUUUGUGUGGUUGGGGGACAAUGGAAUACACUAUUAUUAUAGUAGUUCACAUGUUCUUGCUUA